rnacentral:rRNA from 1 species
CGCGGCCUAUCAGCUUGUUGGUGGGGUAAUGGCCUACCAAGGCGUCGACGGGUAGCAGGCCUGAGAGGGUGUACGGCCACAUUGGGACUGAGAUACGGCCCAGACUCCUACGGGAGGCAGCAGUGGGGAAUAUUGCACAAUGGGCGCAAGCCUGAUGCAGCGACGCCGCGUGAGGGAUGACGGCCUUCGGGUUGUAAACCUCUUUCAGCAGGGACGAAGCGCAAGUGACGGUACCUGCAGAAGAAGCACCGGCUAACUACGUGCCAGCAGCCGCGGUAAUACGUAGGGUGCGAGCGUUGUCCGGAAUUAUUGGGCGUAAAGAGCUCGUAGGCGGUUUGUCGCGUCGGCCGUGAAAACUUGGGGCUUAACCCCGAGCCUGCGGUCGAUACGGGCAGACCUGAGUUCGGCAGGGGAGACUGGAAUUCCUGGUGUAGCGGUGAAAUGCGCAGAUAUCAGGAGGAACACCGGUGGCGAAGGCGGUUCUCUGGGCAUUACCUGACGCUGAGGAGCGAAAGCAUGGGGAGCGAACAGGAUUAGAUACCCUGGUGGUCCAUGCCGUAAACGUUGGGCGCUAGGUGUGGGGACCUCCCACGGUCUCCGUGCCGCAGCUAACGCAUUAAGCGCCCCGCCUGGGGAGUACGG